rnacentral:rRNA from 1 species
AUUGAACGCUGGCGGCAGGCCUAACACAUGCAAGUCGAGCGCGCGGCGGACGGGUGAGUAAUGUCUGGGAACCUGCCUGAUGGAGGGGGAUAACUACUGGAAACGGUAGCUAAUACCGCAUACCAUCAGAUGUGCCCAGAUGGGAUUAGCUAGUAGGUGGGGUAACGGCUCACCUAGGCGACGAUCCCUAGCUGGUCUGAGAGGAUGACCAGCCACACUGGAACUGAGACACGGCCCAGACUCCUACGGGAGGCAGCAGUGGGGAAUAGUGCACAAUGGGCGCAAGCCUGAUGCAGCCACGCCGCGUGUGUGAAGAAGGUCUUCGGGUUGUAAAGCUCUGUCAGCGGGGAGGCGGUAUCCGCAGAAGAAGCACCGGCUAACUCCGUGCCAGCAGCCGCGGUAAUUC